AGUACCCUAUAAGGAAUGGAAAGAGAGAGAAAGUAGCCGGAAACACAUCACAGUGACCUAAACACAGUGUAUGUGACAGGAUGACACAACUUCUGCCUCGCCACAGGAAGGGGGAAUCCCCUCCCCUGAGGUCAGGCUCCUGGGUCACCUCAGCUCCUUCUAUCUCCCAGGGUACACCCCCAAAUGCUCCACCCUUCCCUUCUGAGGGUACAGCUCAGUGUAGCCUGCAGCUUGCUAGAGUAGAAAGCUGGCCUAUGCCUGGCCCAUUGUUGGCUGGCUUCCCAGAGAAGAGGGAAGAAUAUGUUGGUAUUUCUACCACCUGUACUGUGGGUUCCUGACCUUCCUCUAGCAGACAAGCCGGCUCAUGACCAAGCAUUCUCCACCCCAACCGCCUCUACCUCUGCUGUCCAGUCACUGUCCUCAGGGUAUUAGGUUUUCGAGAUCUACACCCAACCUCUGUGACCUUUGGCCACAGAGAUGCCAUGUGGAGCUCCCCAUGUGGCCAUGGCCCAGCCGGAGAGGAGAGAGACAGAUGCCUGAAGGGGGCAACGUGCAGCCACGCGGCAGGCUUCAUGCCCAGCGUAGGGCCCAACAUGGGCAUGAACUCACAACCCUGAGAUCAAGACCAAAGCUGAGAUCAAGAUUUGGACACUUAACCAACUGAGCCACUCAGCCACUCUGACAGACCUGUCCAUUGACUGACGAAUGGAUAAAGAAGAUGUGAUUCUACCAGUACUAGUCGGCGAUGAAAAAGAAGGAAAUCUUACCAUUUGCAACAACGUGGAUGGAACUGGAGGGUAUUACGCUAAGCAAAACAAGUCAGUCAGAGAAAGACAGAUAUCAUAUGAUUUCAUUCACAUGUGGAAUUUGAGAAACUCAACAGAUGAACAUAAGGGAAGAGAAGGAAAAAUAAGAUAAAAACAAUGAGGGAGGCAAACCACAAGAGACUCUUAAAUACAGAGAAUAACUGAGGGUUGCUGGAGGGGUGGUGGGUGGGGGGGAUGGGUUAAAUGGUUGAUGGGCAUUAAGGAGGGAAUUUUCGGGAUGAGCACUGGGUGUCAUAUGUAAGAGAUGAAUCACUGGGUUCUACUCCUGAAGCCAAGACUACAUUGUGUAUUAACUAACUUGAAUUUUAAUUUAAAAAUAAUAAAGAAAUAAAGAAAUGAGUCCUUUAUUCCAAGAGAGCUCCUGGUCUAGAGUCUGGAUGUGAAGGGAGAAAAUCAGAUUUGGUGAUACAUACUCUUAGAACAACUACUCCAUAAGCUGAUUUAGGAAUAAGACCUAUUGCUCUGCUUCACCCCUAGCCCAAGGCAAACAAUAUCUCCACAGUCCCCAUAUUCCCAUCCUUUCUCUCUUGUCUCUGUUCUCUCAUGGGGUAUUUCCCCAUUUCCAAGAUCUCAGCCACUCUCAACUCACUGAAACCUCUCAAAUCUUCAACUCCCAACCCAAUCUCUCUCCAGAGCUCCAGAUUCAUGAUUCAUAUACAACCACUUAAUGACCAUCUUUGCUUGCAUGUCUCACAAACAGCCCAAACUCAUUAUAACCA